rnacentral:lncRNA from 1 species
UUUUGGUUAAAAUGACUUUCCAUAUAUUUUUAUGUUUACCUAGUCAUGGUAAAUGCUUUAAUAAUUGUGUUGUGUAUUGACUUGUAUCAACAAAUGGAUAGAACAUGAGAAAUAUUGUGAUAUUUAGAUUUUUGAGACUUGUUGUUAUUUUGAGAAAGUUCCCGUACUUUUUCAUCUGUAACUUUUUCGGGAUCGACCCCACUUUAGACAUACUUUCUGUCAAUUUUGGACAAUGACAGCCAAACUUACUUAUAUACACUCUUUUCUAAAGUCGAAUUGAGUUUGAGAAUUUACUUUUCCCCACUGAAGGUUAUGCAUUUUGCUUAAACUUGUCGAUCUUCGUUUCUGUUACAGACAGCAUGUAUCGCUAUCCGCCAUUACUUCAGAUGAACGGCUAGCGAUUUCAUUGGUUGAUUAAAAGAAUAAAGUAUUUUACCUUAAUUUUUGUAGAAAUUGUUAUAGAAAUGUUUUAUUUUACGAUUCAGUAAUGUUAGAAAAUGUAAAAGUUUAUAUUUUAAUAACUUUGUAUUCUUUGUCGAUUCAACUUGUUAAAGAAUGGAGCUUUUUGAUUGGCUAUUGGUUACUGUGCACUGUGCAAGAUGGGGCACUUAAGGGUAUCGUGCAUGCCCCUGUGCGGUACAUUUGCACUGUCGUGCAGUGGCGGGUAUUAUAUAAUCUUUCGAAAACGCUGCACUGACGUCACUUUCACGCCAUUUUAUUAGGGAUUGAACCGCUGCCAAAAUUUUAUUAGAAAGUAAGGCCAAUUUUUACGUUUAGAAACUUAUUUAUUUAACUAAAUUUUCUUAUUGGAAAAACGUAAUUUUACAGAGAUUUUAAUGAUAAUUUCUAGAAGUUUAUUUUCAUUUCAAAAGUAACUUUUAAAGGCUGUUUUACGAAUUUAUGGUUCAAAAUUUCAUUGUUUUGGAAUUGUAAAGUUUUGUUUAAGUACAUUUUACCGGAAAGUUAGAUUUUUCUAUUUAAGAGUCCAAAGCCAAUCAAACUAUUUUUGCGUUUAAAUUAUAGACUGUGUUAUAGGAUUUUAAAGGUAUAUCUGAGAGUUCUUUGUUACACUUUUAUUGUCCUCUAUUUUACAAGACAUACGCUACUAGUAAAGUCUCUAGUACACUUGUCUACAUUAACGCAAAUUAAAUAUAUUAGAUAAGGUAAUAGGGACACAAAACAUACGCUACUAGUAAAGUCUCUAGUACACUUGUUUUGUUUAAAUAACUAUAAAUAGGGAGAUUAGUUAAAAGACAUACUCUACUAGUAAAGUCUCUAGUAUUUUGUCUUGAUUAAAAUAAUUGGAAUAAGGAUAAAGGGCUUACGCUACUAGUAAAGUUUCUAGUA